AUACUUAUCUGGCAGGGGAGACACCAAGAUCGUGAAAGUGGUUUUCCCAGGGUGUGGCUCAUCCAUUGCACUCUGGGUGUGCUGACAUUCUACAGCUUAACAUCUGUUCC
rnacentral:snRNA from 1 species